UCCCUGGAGGACUAGCGGUUAGGCCACAGCGCUCUUACUGCUGCAGCCCUGGUUGGAUUCCCGGCCAGGGAA
rnacentral:tRNA from 1 species